rnacentral:rRNA from 1 species
GGACGAACGCUGGCGGCGUGCUUAACCCAUGCAAGUCGAACGGAAAGGCCCUGCUUUUGUGGGGUGCUCGAGUGGCGAACGGGUGAGUAACACGUGAGUAACCUGCCCUUGACUUUGGGAUAACUUCAGGAAACUGGGGCUAAUACCGGAUAGGAGCUCCUGCUGCAUGGUGGGGGUUGGAAAGUUUCGGCGGUUGGGGAUGGACUCGCGGCUUAUCAGCUUGUUGGUGGGGUAGUGGCUUACCAAGGCUUUGACGGGUAGCCGGCCUGAGAGGGUGACCGGCCACAUUGGGACUGAGAUACGGCCCAGACUCCUACGGGAGGCAGCAGUGGGGAAUAUGGCACAAUGGGCGGAAGCCUGAUGCAGCAACGCCGCGUGCGGGAUGACGGCCUUCGGGUUGUAAACCGCUUUCGCCUGUGACGAAGCGUGAGUGACGGUAAUGGGUAAAGAAGCACCGGCUAACUACGUG